ACGGAGUCUCACUCUGUCGCCCAGGCUGAAGUGCAGUGGCACGAUCUGGGCUCACCGCAACCUCCGCCUCCUGGGUUCAAGCAAUUCUCCCACCUCAGCCUCUCGAGUACCUGGGAUUACAGGUGCGGGCUACCAUGCCCAGCUAAUUUUUGUAUAUUUAGUAGAGAUGGUGUUUCGCCAUGUUGGACAGGCUGGUCUCCAACUCCUGGCCUCAAGUGAUCCACCCGCCUUGGCCUCCUAAAGUGCUGGGAUUACAGGUGUGGGCCACUGCACCUGGCCCUGAGAUUCUUCUUUUCAACCAACUCCAUGUGAUGCCAGGCUGCUGGCCUGGCAUCAGUGAUACAGCAGUAUAGGAUACUUAGUAUAAUCCCAUUUCUGUAAAAACAAAAUGGAACAAAAUGAAUAUGUGCAUAUAUGAAAAACAAAGCCAGAGAACGAUCCCUAAGCUAUAGUGGUUAUCUCUAGGUGGGAGGAUGACCAGAGGUUUUCAAAUACUUGUGUAAAGUCUGGUUUUACAAUAAGUUUCAAUAUUGUAAUUAGGGGGGAAAAAGUAAAAAUAAUAAAAGCUGGCUGGGCAUGGUGGCUCACAGCUAUAAUCCCAGCAUUUUGGGAGGCUGAGGCGGACAGAUCAUGAGGUCAGGAGUUUGAGACCAGCCUGGCCAAGAUGAUGAAACCCCGUCUCUACUAAAAAUACAAAAAUUAGCUGGGCACAGUGGCGAGCACCUGUAAUCCCAGCUACUCAGGAGGCUGAGGCAGGAGAAUUCCUUGAACCAGGGAGGGAGAGGUUGCAGUGAGCUGAGAUCACACCACUGCACUCUAACCUGAGCGACAGAGCAAGACUCUGUCUC
rnacentral:lncRNA from 10 species